rnacentral:piRNA from 1 species
CGUGCUGAUCAGUAGUGGGAUCG